rnacentral:rRNA from 1 species
AUUGAACGCUGGCGGCAUGCCUUACACAUGCAAGUCGAACGGCAGCACGGGAGCAAUCCUGGUGGCGAGUGGCGAACGGGUGAGUAAAGUAUCGGAACGUGCCCAGUCGUGGGGGAUAACGUAGCGAAAGUUACGCUAAUACCGCAUACGAUCUAUGGAUGAAAGCGGGGGAUCGCAAGACCUCGCGCGAUUGGAGCGGCCGAUAUCAGAUUAGGUAGUUGGUGGGGUAAAGGCUCACCAGGCCGACGAUCUGUAGCUGGUCUGAGAGGACGACCAGCCACACUGGGACAGGGACACGGCCCAAACUCCUCCGGGAGGCAGCAGUGGGGAAUUUUGGACAAUGGGCGAAAGCCUGAUUCAGCCAUGCCGCGUGCAGGAUGAAGGCCUUCGGGUUGUAAACUGCUUUUGUACGGAACGAAAAGGUUUGGCCUAAUAAGCUGAGCUCAUGACGGUACCGUAAGAAUAAGCACCGGCUAACUACGUGCCAGCCGCCGCAGUAA